AUGGAGGUAGUGCUGAAUGAAUGUCAGCCAAAAUUAAGUUCUUCAAGUUUUUGCAGCAAAUUAGGGUCACCACUGGGGCCGACCGAGCUGAGUGGGUCAGCCGUGGACCACAAGCCCCUGCUGCAGGAGUGGCUGUUGGCCUACAAACUGCAGGCCGUCCAGGGCAACUGUGCAUGCACCCUGCACAGCUAUGGUGCCACCCCUGCCAGCCCCCGCCAAAGCCCUACCCCUACCUCAUCACAGGGGUACCCACCCGCCACCCCAGGGUCUACAACAUCUACAGCCGGACUGCCACCCAGUACCCUGCCAACUCCAUCACGGUCGUGGGAAGCUGUCCCCUCUGCAGGGUUGGGGGUGCUGGAGGACUGCUUCACCUUCCUGGGCAUCUUCCUGGUCAUCAUCCUGUUCCCCUUUGGGUUCAUCUGCUGUUUUGCCUCGAGGAAGCGAAGAUGCCCCAACUGCCGAGAGACCUUAGCUUAAAGGGAACACCACUCCCGGCUUUCCUACACCCAACUCUCUUUUUCUAAUGUAAAUUUCGUGUAUAAUAGUUUCAUUUGAUUAAGCUCAGGACUGUUUUGUAAAGCAAGAUGGGAUAGAU